rnacentral:rRNA from 1 species
CUACGGGAGGCAGCAGUGAGGAAUAUUGAGCAAUGGGCGCAAGCCUGACUCAGCAACGCCGCGUGGAUGAUGAAGGCCUUCGGGUUGUAAAAUCCUUUUCUGGGGGACGAUAAUGACGGUACCUCAGGAAUAAGUUCCGGCUAACUACGUGCCAGCAGCCGCGGUAAAACGUAGGGAACAAGCGUUAUCCGGAUUUACUGGGCGUAAAGCGCGCGCAGGCGGCAUGGAAAGUUGGACGUGAAAACUCCUGGCUUAACUGGGAGAGGUCGUACAAAACUACCAAGCUAGAGGUUGGAAGAGGAGAGUGGAAUUCCCGGUGUAGUGGUGGAAUGCGUAGAUAUCGGGAGGAACACCAGUGGUGAAAACGGCUCUCUGGUCCAAUACUGACGCUGAGGUGCGAAAGCGUGGGGAGCGAACGGGAUUAGAAACCCGAGUAGUCC